CAGUCAGGUUCUGCCUGCCACUUGCUGCUGUGUGGUCUAGUGCUAGUGCCUCUCCCUCUGAAUUUGCUUUAAUUUCAAAUCAAACUGAUUUCUGUACGCCUACCCAUCUACUUACGUAAAAAAAAAAAGUUCUUAAAACUAGCCCCUUUUAUGUAAUGAUCAGAUAUACUCACAGUCGCAAGACUCACUAUCCACUGAAAAGAUUCACAUGUGAUGUAGGUUAUUAGAUGAUAUUAAUGUUGAGUGAUGAUAUGUGAACACUGAGAGGCAGACCUAGCAUGGGAAGAGGGUGUCUAUUAUCUCCCAUCGUUUAAAUCUUCGCUUCUUGUAACUCCUGGUGCUGCAGUAACUCCUGGUGCUGCAGUAACUCCUGGUGCUGCAGUAACUCCUGGUGCUGCAGUAACUCCUGGUGCUGCAGUAACUCCUGGUGCUGCAGUAACUCCUGGUGCUGCAGUAACUCCUGGUGCUGCAGUAACUCCUGGAGCUGCAGUAACGUCCUGGGUGCGCAGUAACUCCUGGUGCUGCAGUAACUCCUGGUGCUGUAAUAACUGCUGGUGCUGCAAUAACUGCUGGUGCUGCAGUAACUGCUGGUGCUGCAGUAACUGCUGGUGCUGCUGAUGAUGCUGGUGCAUUGAUGCUGCUGCUGCUGAAGUGAUGAUGAUGCUGACGCUGCUGGUGCUGCUGUUGAUGAUUCCUCACGUUUCUCACUUGCCUGUAUCCCCAGGGAUGAAAGACUGUCGGAAUGUCUACCAGAAUCAGGACUCCUCAAAAGACAGAUGGACCAGUUUAAACCAACAUGAGAACAUAACAGUGGGUUGUGACCGCCUUAAAGGGAGUCUUCUUCACCAGCCACUGGACAACUUUGCGCAAGAAAUCAGUUCGCUCAAAAAAUGCAAGGGAAAUUUUCGAGUAUUGCACAGCAUACCUUGUUAUAUCACAAAGGAAGCAGGAAAGGAAGGCCUGAUAUUGACGUUAGUUAUGCUGCUUCACCAGCAGUGUGUAAAGAGGGAAGAGGAUAUUGAACAUCAAAUCCUUGGCUAUGUCAUGUGUUAUUAUCCAGAACUGGAGGUCAUCACCUUAAAUUCUGUGAAUAAUCCAGAACUGGAGGUCACCACCUUAAAUUCUGUGAAUAAGAACAAUUCAGUUAAUAAUAGUGAAUCAGUAACGCAAUCAACAAAUUCAGUAAACUGGGGUAUUUUUCUUGGAGUCAUAAGCUCAAUUUUAUUUGUAUACUUUUUAAUUACAAUAAUAUAUGUAUUAACAAAGAUAUGCAAAAAGAGAAGAAGGGUCAGGGGCAUGUCUACUGACCUUGAAAAUUAUGAGGCUUUCCUAUGAGUAAUGUAAACAGAAGCUCAUAAAUUGAUAAACUCAGUAACAGAGAGAAGAAACGUAUAUUCAGAGGCCAAAGAAACUCCCAGAGCCUGUAAUUUAUUAAAUAUAAAAUGGUGCUCCUUCUUAAGUGGGUGUGACUUGGACCUGCCUAACAUGGGCCAGUAGACCUACUGCAGUGUUUCUUAACUGGGUGUGACUUGGACCUGCCUAACAUGGGCCAGUAGACCUACUGCAGUGUUUCUUAAGUGGGUGUGACUUGGACCUGCCUAACAUGGGCCAGUAGACCUACUGCAGUGUUUCUUAACUGGGUGUGACUUGGACCUGCCUAGCAUGGGCCAGUAGACCUACUGCAGUGUUUCUUCUCUCUUAUAUACAUAUAAAUCUACAGCAACCAAUGACGGCACUCAAACAGUGGUAGCUCACAUGAAAAUGUAAGAUAUGAACAAUUGAUUGUAGGCUAAUUGCGUUUAAAGUCUAUCGGCUGGCUACAUGUGGCCUAUUCCAUCAGUAGAAAAUAUUGUAGUUAAAUAAGGAUCAGAUAUAAAUUUAGUGUAUAUAAAUACACUGAGAAAUAUAAAACUCUCUGUUGCUUAUUUCUCAGUGUACAUAAUAAUAAUAAAGGUAAAUGGUUAUAACUAUGACCAUAAUUGUUAAAGGUAUGAACGGGUCAGCCAGCGGAAGGUCUCUGUCAGAUGACCAAAAGCUCCAGCUGUGGGUCAUCAUAUAACUAAGACCUGCGUCAGGAAACACUUGUCCUGUUUCCUAACAAACAUUACCUAACAUAAUGUACAUAACCUCGCAUGCUAGAUCAAGUUAUGUUGAAAACAGUGAAGAAAUAUAGAGCAGUGGAAAAAUAGAAUAGCGUAGCGUCAGGAAUAAUAGAUAACCUGCAAAUGAGAAUCACAUUCAUGUAUACUUGUGAAAAAAAGUGAUAAACCCGUGUGGGUUAUAUACAGUGCUCGUUUGUGUAUAAAAUAGCACAAAAAAAAUGUUUCUUAUAUAACGGGUAUGUACAAUAGAUAUACAAUAUAAAUAAUAGAACUGUAAAUUACUGUCGCUUUGAAAUUUUAAUACACUAGGCUGUUUCUUUUUUGGGUGUAAUUAACAUUAUUAUCUGUAACGAAAAGUUGAUGUAUAGUAGAACCAAAGAUGUGCUUUUGUAUUACACUAUAAAAACCAUCGAGUUAUUUAAUGACUUUAGCACUUUAAAUAUAUUUUUCCACACGGCUUUAAUGCUUAUUUUGAUAAUAAUAAAAUAAUAUUCAUCAUUAUUAUUAUUAUUAUUAUUAUUAUUAUUAUUAUUAUUAUUAUUAUUAUUAUUAUUAAUAUUAUUAAUUUCCCUAGUUAUAGGUAAUUUUGGGGGGUCAGCGCCCCCUCGGCCGGGUCCUAGACCAAGUCUUCUGACUGACCAUCUCCUUAGUUUGCACUGAUUUUUCUUCAAUGGGGCAAAUAUUUCAUUUAAUAAGGAAGUACUAAACCCAUAGGGCAGAGAUCAUGCAGCGCCCGAGGAAUGGAAGGUAAUCAAAUUUGAUCCAAGGAAGGAGAAGAUGGCCUCCCACCCUUCCCUUUGAAGAGACUUAGAAACAAAGACAGUGUGACUUCCUUCGUCUAUUUAAAAUUUUAGAACAAGUACAAAAUCCUCCUAGCGUUAGUGAAUCAAGAAUUUUGUGUAGCUGUAAAUAUAGGCUGGACGGGUAUAGGAAUAGGCAUGAGUUAAACUAGCCUAGCAUGGGCCAAUAGGCCUACCACAGUGUUCAUUUUCAAAUUCUUCAGAAUUACCUGAUGAUAAGACAUUAGAGUAUAAUUUAUGUAAAUAUAUGUGUCAGCUUUUACUUCGACAUUUUGUCCAUAUUCCUCCGUCCUUAUAAUCAAGGACUGACUUACCUAACAAUCACUGAGGAUAGUUGUCCUUGGCCAGAGGAACAAUUAUUUCUUCCUGCUCCAUUAUGUGUUGAAAAAAUCAUGAAUUCACGAACUCAUAAAUGUUCACUGAAUAUCAAAAUAUUUUAUCCAUAGUGGGACUUUCCCGGUAAUUCUGGAAACAUAUCUUAAGUUUAUUGUUAUAAUAAGGCACUGGACAGGCACCUCAAGUCAGUAUCUGAUCAACCUGGCUGUGGUUUGUACGUCAGCUUGCCUUCGGCCAGCAGUAACAGCCUGGUUGAUUAGACCCUGAUCCACCAUGAGGCCUGGUCUCAGACCGGGUCAGGGGGCGUUGACCCCCCGAAGUCCUCUCCAGGUAACUGCUUAAACUUGUCUAAAUUCAACUACACCAUGUUAAAAUAUUGGGUAUUAUAAAUAAAUCAUGACCACAAAUAAACUAGUAUAUUUUCUACUGUUAGGUGUUCUAGUGGUACACUCUGUAAUUAUUAUUUUACUACAUGUAAACCACACAAUAGCCAAAUUCAUUCGUCUCUCAGCCAUUGAGUAGAGAGGACGUGUUCUACACUGCUGCCCUCUAUAGCUGUUCGGUGGCAGUUUCAUUUUCUCAACAUGGCGCAGGCAGCCAGACGCCGCGUCAACACUGUGUGUUUGGAAUUAACUCGUGGGGCAGUGCUUGGACCAUCAAUGGCGAUAUUAUUGCCAGCGAUAAUCCGAGACACCUAUGGUAUCGCCAACGAGGAUUUGUGCGGUGUAGCGAUGAAUGGUGUGACAAGAAUCUUUGUAAAGUUUAGCUCAGCUCAA